AAAUUACCCAGACAACCACGCUUUCUUGCUUGUAUGUUCCAGGUAGCUUCAAACCAGCUACUAAUGUAAACCUAACUUUUAACCCCCCUUCAAAAGUAACUUGAGAUGUUAUCAAUGUAAAAGGCACAACUAUAUUCGUGUGCAUUGAAAACAGCCAUUUUUGUGAGAAAGCCUAGCCAUAUUAUGAGAAAUAGAGAAUUGUUUUUUUUUUCUUUAAUCAAAUGAAUCUCUUGAUUCUAUCGCUCACUGUCGAACAAGUGCAUUUCCCACCUCCCAAUGUUAUAAGUGCUCAAGAGGUUCUACUGAAUAAUUUCAUUUUCUGAAGACUGGAGAUCCUAAAGAAAUCUACAAAACAGUCCUGUUCACACCAUUUUUUGCCAUGGAAUUUAUAGUUAAAAUGAUUACUAGAGCCCUGUGUGUAACGUUCAUGCAGGUCAUCUUAUAUUUUAUAAAGAAAGGUGGCACAGACGUGGAAGUUGAUAUUUUCACAUGUAACACUAAAAAGCAAACCCACCUCCCAGCUCUCGCUGUAUUAAAUAAGGAGUAAUAUCACUGGGUGCCAUCUCUUUUCUCUCCA